rnacentral:rRNA from 1 species
GACGAACGCUGGCGGCGUGCUUAACACAUGCAAGUCGAACGGAAAGGCCCUGCUUUUGUGGGGUUCUCGAGUGGCGAACGGGUGAGUAACACGUGAGUAACAUGCCCUUGACUUUGGGAUAACUCCAGGAAACUGGGGCUAAUAUCGGAUAGGAGCUCCUGCUGCAUGGUGGGGGAUGGAAAGUUUCGGCGGUUGGGGAUGGACUCGCUGGUUAUCAGCUUGUUGGUGUGGUAGUGGCUUACCAAGGCUUUGACGGGUAGCCGGCCUGAGAGGGCGACCGGGCACAUUGGGACUGAGAUACGGCCCAGACUCCUACGGGAGGCAGCAGUGGGGAAUAUUGCACAAUGGGCGGAAGCCUGAUACAGCAACGCCGCGUGCGGGAUGACGGCCUUCGGGUUGUAAACCGCUUUCGACUGUGACGAAGCGUGAGUGACGGUAAUGGGUAAAGAAGCACCGGCUAACUACGUG